rnacentral:rRNA from 1 species
UACGAAGGGGGCUAGCGUUGCUCGGAAUCACUGGGCGUAAAGGGUUCGUAGGUGGCCAACUAAGUCAGACGUGAAAUCCCUCAGCUUAACUGGGGAACUGCGUCUGAGACUGGAUGGCUUGAGUGCAGGAGAGGAACGCGGAAUUCCAGGUGUAGCGGUGAAAUGCGUAGAUAUCAGGAGGAACACCGGUGGCGAAGGCGGAUCUCUGGGCCAUAACUGACGCUGAGGAGCGAAAGCAUGGGGAGCGAACAGG